rnacentral:rRNA from 1 species
CCAAUGGCGGGUGCCUAUACUGCAGUCGAGCGAACAGACGAGGAGCUUGCUCCUCUGACGUUAGCGGCGGACGGGUGAGUAACACGUGGAUAACCUACCUAUAAGACUGGGAUAACUUCGGGAAACCGGAGCUAAUACCGGAUAAUAUAUUGAACCGCAUGGUUCAAUAGUGAAAGACGGUUUUGCUGUCACUUAUAGAUGGAUCCGCGCCGCAUUAGCUAGUUGGUAAGGUAACGGCUUACCAAGGCAACGAUGCGUAGCCGACCUGAGAGGGUGAUCGGCCACACUGGAACUGAGACACGGUCCAGACUCCUACGGGAGGCAGCAGUAGGGAAUCUUCCGCAAUGGGCGAAAGCCUGACGGAGCAACGCCGCGUGAGUGAUGAAGGUCUUCGGAUCGUAAAACUCUGUUAUUAGGGAAGAACAAAUGUGUAAGUAACUAUGCACGUCUUGACGGUACCUAAUCAGAAAGCCACGGCUAACUACGUGCCAGCAGCCGCGGUAAUACGUAGGUGGCAAGCGUUAUCCGGAAUUAUUGGGCGUAAAGCGCGCGUAGGCGGUUUUUUAAGUCUGAUGUGAAAGCCCACGGCUCAACCGUGGAGGGUCAUUGGAAACUGGAAAACUUGAGUGCAGAAGAGGAAAGUGGAAUUCCAUGUGUAGCGGUGAAAUGCGCAGAGAUAUGGAGGAACACCAGUGGCGAAGGCGACUUUCUGGUCUGUAACUGACGCUGAUGUGCGAAAGCGUGGGGAUCAAACAGGAUUAGAUACCCUGGUAGUCCACGCCGUAACGAUGAGUGCUAAGUGUUAGGGGGUUUCCGCCCCUUAGUGCUGCAGCUAACGCAUUAAGCACUCCGCCUGGGGAGUACGGCCGCACGUUGAAACACGAGAGUGGUGGUGUGGCGGGGGAAGUAUAAAAA